GACGUCGCGUCGCUGAUUACGCCACGCCGCGGCGCUGAGGCGGUUCCGCUGACGGCCGUGUACGCGGCGAGCGAGUCCCGGCGCGCCCGCUCGGCUCCGCAGCGCCGCAGGCCCCGGCCCCGACCCCGCGCGGCCCGAGCAUGGACUCCGCAGGCCAAGAUAUCAACUUGAAUUCUCCUAACAAAGGUCUGCUGUCCGACUCCAUGACAGAUGUCCCUGUCGACACAGCGGUGGCUGCCCAGACUCUUGCUGUCGAGGGUCUGACUGAGGCUGAGGAGGAGGAGCUUAGGGCUGAGCUUGCAAAGGUGGAAGAGGAAAUUGUCACUUUGCGCCAGGUCCUGGCGGCCAAGGAGAGGCACUGUGCAGAGCUGAAAAGGAAGCUGGGCCUCUCUGCCUUGGAGGGCCUGAAGCAGAACCUGUCCAGGAGCUGGCAUGACGUGCAGGUCUCUAACGCCUAUGUGAAAACUUCUGAGAAACUUGGAGAGUGGAAUGAGAAAGUGACCCAGUCAGACCUCUACAAGAAGACUCAAGAAACUCUCUCCCAGGCGGGACAGAAGACGUCGGCUGCCCUGUCCACCGUGGGCUCCGCCAUUAGCAGAAAGCUCGGGGACAUGAGGGUUCGUCCGUUCUCACACUCCUUUAGCCUGACGCCAGCGCUGCUGCCCCGUCACACCGUCAUCCCGCUCGCAGGCCUGGAACCCAAAUCCAGAACAACGUGUGAUUCAGCUCUUCAAUCCGCCACUCGAUAAGUAUGCCGGCCAUGAGGAACUCUGCCACCUUCAAGUCGUUUGAAGACCGAGUUGGGAACAUAAAGUUUCCCCAGUGAUCACGUUGCGCAGUAGCACCACCGGGAUAGGACAGUGACACAGUCGUGGUGCAGAGCGGUCUCAUCCCCACUGCGGUCCUUCCCGGGGCUCACCUUCUGCUAGCCCUGCCCCCACCACCGCUCAUCUGUCCUCCGUUGUGAUGACUUGUCAUUGCCAGAGUGUCCUAGGAUCGGAACCAUGUAGCGUGGAGCCUUGGAAGAUUUGCUCUUUCUACACAGCCUAAACCCCUAGAGAUACUGCCAGCCUGUUGCCCGUGUCGGGGAUUUGUUCCUCUUUAUUGCCCGUUGGUGUUGAUGUGGUGUAGACGUCGUAGAGAGCUGAACAGCUGGGGUUCCCAGCAAGGCCUAGGGUGUGCCAGCAUUGUGUGCUCUGUCUCAGGUUUUAUUAUUUUUUGUCUCGAUUUUUUUUUCCCCACAUGUAGUCUAAGGUGGUCGGUGGCAGAGCGAAUGGCACUGAGAACCGGCCCUCCCCGACCGGGAGUGGCUCCAAGCCCCUGCCCGAUCCCACGCCUUUCUAAGCCCAUCCCAGCUUUGCCCCGCCAUGGAGAAGUGCAAGCCCGCCCUCAUCGCCACAGCCGAGACGCCGCAGCGGAGCCGCCCGUCAGACCCCGGGUGGAUGCACCGAGCUGGCUUUGAGGAGGGUCCUGCCGUCCCAUGUAGACGUGGCUGCUGUGUUCGCAUGAGUUCUGCAGAACGCGGUCUUGUACGCAGAUGCUUUCCACUGACGUUGGUAGAUGCAGACCCCUGUGCCGCCCUUCCUGGGGUGCAGGGAGUAGACAGCGGGCCCUUUGGCGGUCUUGUUAGUUCGCGAGAGCGUGGAAGGAACGGGAGUGUGAUAAGCAUAAAAUAAAUGGUAUCUCCUCAGCCUCCCCUUUCGUGACUUAUAGAAGGAGUCUGCGGAAGAAAGAUUCAUCCAGAAAGUCAUCUGAUCUUCAGUUUUUAUUUCAAAUGCUAAAUGAGAAAACUCCAUUUUUUGAAACCCUCCAGCAAGAAACUGGUUAUCAACAGCCGCCUAAUUCUUACACUAAUGAUCUAGCUUUAACAAGAGCAAAUUCUUUAUUUUUUAAAUGCAGUGAAUUUUUCGACAAUUUAAGCCAAGCGAAGCAGCUUUAGUCUCCGUUAGAAAACACUAUUUCUUUGGACUCAAGCUGACAUACAAGCCUUACAUCGCAAUAUGCUUUAUUUGUUUAUAAUGUUUUUUAUAUGAAAAUAAGGGUUCUUCAGUGGGUUUUGAGCGUUAUGUAGACUUCUGCGUCUAGCCCGAAGGGCAGCAUGUUUGGACUGUUGGUGUGUUUUGUUCAGCUGAUACACUGCAUUCCAGUGUGUGAAGCUUGCUUCUCUCUCCUCAAGGACUGGGGUAGCUCCUGCCAGUCAGAGGGCUCUGGGCCUCGGGGGGUGGAGGUGGGGGUGGGCAGGAGAGGCAGAAGCCAGCACCCUCCACAGACGGCUUGGCUCCAACAUGCCCGUUUGCUGCACCCUGGGGACAAGUGAGAAGCAGAUGGGCCCUGCCUGCAUCGGGUCGGUUGGGACUCUGCUUUCGCCUUUUCUCAGGAGCUACAAAGAUCUCAUUCCCAUUCUGAAGCUGCCACACCCCAGCAGCCUUGUGGUCAGGGCCCCACGCAUGGCGUGUGUCUGGAGGGGCAGCUCCGUGCCUUAUUGGCUCCCAGCAGGCCGAGAGCGCACCGAGAGCAGAGUCCACUCCGGGAGACCGUGGUGUCCUCUGGCAAGCCGAGUGUCCGCUGGUCACUUCAGACACCCUGGGUGGACUGCGGUCUGUGCUGGCGCCAUGGGAGGAACAGCAUUUGGUGUUUUUUCUUCAGGGUUAGAAUCACGGAUGGGGUGUGGUGAGAAAGCAGGACACAACCGUAGUAACGGAUUCAUCUUUUCCUUCAAGUGGAUAAUGGGGAAAUUGUCAAUAAAGCAUUCCUUUGGGGAAGAACCCAUGUGA